rnacentral:rRNA from 1 species
CCUAACACAUGCAAGUCGAACGGUAACAGGAAGCAGCUUGCUGUUUCGCUGACGAGUGGCGGACGGGUGAGUAAUGUCUGGGAAACUGCCUGAUGGAGGGGGAUAACUACUGGAAACGGUAGCUAAUACCGCAUAACGUCGCAAGACCAAAGAGGGGGACCUUCGGGCCUCUUGCCAUCGGAUGAGCCCAGAUGGGAUUAGCUUGUUGGUGGGGUAACGGCUCACCAAGGCGACGAUCCCUAGCUGGUCUGAGAGGAUGACCAGCCACACUGGAACUGAGACACGGUCCAGACUCCUACGGGAGGCAGCAGUGGGGAAUAUUGCACAAUGGGCGCAAGCCUGAUGCAGCCAUGCCGCGUGUAUGAAGAAGGCCUUCGGGUUGUAAAGUACUUUCAGCGGGGAGGAAGGGAGUAAAGUUAAUACCUUUGCACAUUGACGUUACCCGCAGAAGAAGCACCGGCUAACUCCGUGCCAGCAGCCGCGGUAAUACGGAGGGUGCAAGCGUUAAUCGGAAUUACUGGGCGUAAAGCGCACGCAGGCGGUUUGUUAAGUCAGAUGUGAAAUCCCCGGGCUCAACCUGGGAACUGCAUCUGAUACUGGCAAGCUUGAGUCUCGUAGAGGGGGGUAGAAUUCCAGGUGUAGCGGUGAAAUGCGUAGA